UUGAACGCUGGCGGCAUGCUUUACACAUGCAAGUCGAACGGCAGCGCGGGCUUCGGCCUGGCGGCGAGUGGCGAACGGGUGAGUAAUGCAUCGGAACGUGCCCAGUAGUGGGGGAUAGCCCGGCGAAAGCCGGAUUAAUACCGCAUACGACCUGAGGGUGACAGCGGGGGACCGAAAGGCCUCGCGCUAUUGGAGCGGCCGAUGUCGGAUUAGCUAGUUGGUGGGGUAAAGGCUUACCAAGGCGACGAUCCGUAGCUGGUCUGAGAGGACGACCAGCCACACUGGGACUGAGACACGGCCCAGACUCCUACGGGAGGCAGCAGUGGGGAAUUUUGGACAAUGGGGGCAACCCUGAUCCAGCCACGCCGCGUACGGGAAGAAGGCCUUCGGGUUGUAAACCGCUUUUGUUCGGGAAGAAAUCCUCUGGGCUAAUACCCCGGGGGGAUGACGGUACCGGAAGAAUAAGCACCGGCUAACUACGUG
rnacentral:rRNA from 1 species